GGGCCCGCACAAGCGGUGGAGCAUGUGGUUUAAUUCGAUGAUACGCGAGGAACCUUACCUGGGCUUAAAUGCAGAACGACAGACUGGGAAACCGGUUUUUCUUCGGACGUUUUGCAAGGUGCUGCAUGGUUGUCGUCAGCUCGUGCCGUGAGGUGUCGGGUUAAGUCCCAUAACGAGCGCAACCCCUAUUCUUAGUUGCCAGCGGUUCGGCCGGGGACUCUAAGAAAACUGCCCGCGCAAGCGGUGAGGAAGGUGGGGAUGACGUCAAAUCAUCACGGCCCUUACGUCCAGGGCCACACACGUGCUACAAUGGUGUUGACAGAGGGCAGCUAUACUGCGAAGUAAUGCUAAUCCCAAAACAACAUCUCAGUUCGGAUUGGAGUCUGCAACUCGACUCCAUGAAGCUGGAAUCGCUAGUAA
rnacentral:rRNA from 1 species